AGAGUUUGAUCCUGGCUCAGGAUGAACGCUAGCGGCAGGCUUAACACAUGCAAGUCGAGGGGCAGCAUAAUGGAUAGCAAUAUCUAUGGUGGCGACCGGCGCACGGGUGCGUAACGCGUAUGCAACCUACCUUUAACAGGGGGAUAACACUGAGAAAUUGGUACUAAUACCCCAUAAUAUCAUAGAAGGCAUCUUUUAUGGUUGAAAAUUCCGAUGGUUAGAGAUGGGCAUGCGUUGUAUUAGCUAGUUGGUGGGGUAACGGCUCACCAAGGCGACGAUACAUAGGGGGACUGAGAGGUUAACCCCCCACACUGGUACUGAGACACGGACCAGACUCCUACGGGAGGCAGCAGUGAGGAAUAUUGGUCAAUGGACGCAAGUCUGAACCAGCCAUGCCGCGUGCAGGAAGACGGCUCUAUGAGUUGUAAACUGCUUUUGUACGAGGGUAAACGCUCUUACGUGUAAGAGCCUGAAAGUAUCGUACGAAUAAGGAUCGGCUAACUCCGUGCCAGCAGCCGCGGUAAUACGGAGGAUCCAAGCGUUAUCCGGAUUUAUUGGGUUUAAAGGGUGCGUAGGCGGUUUGAUAAGUUAGAGGUGAAAUACCGGGGCUCAACUCCGGAACUGCCUCUAAUACUGUUGAACUAGAGAGUAGUUGCGGUAGGCGGAAUGUAUGGUGUAGCGGUGAAAUGCUUAGAGAUCAUACAGAACACCGAUUGCGAAGGCAGCUUACCAAACUAUAUCUGACGUUGAGGCACGAAAGCGUGGGGAGCAAACAGGAUUAGAUACCCUGGUAGUCCACGCAGUAAACGAUGAUAACUCGUUGUCGGCGAUACACAGUCGGUGACUAAGCGAAAGCGAUAAGUUAUCCACCUGGGGAGUACGUUCGCAAGAAUGAAACUCAAAGGAAUUGACGGGGGCCCGCACAAGCGGAGGAACAUGUG
rnacentral:rRNA from 1 species